ACAGACACUAGGGGUUUUGGUGAGGUCUGGUUUGGGUUUUGGAUUAUGAUCUAAUGUUUGAAAGAAUAGAGGAGCCAUCGGUAACCUACAGAGCAUUAUGGCUCAUUAGUUAAAAGUAAUAUAUAUACUAAUAACUGCUUCGUAGAAACAUAAAUGCUAGAUAUUUCUGCACACUGUUGGCCAUUGUCAGUAUUAUCAUAAGUUAGCAUUUUGACACUACUCUAUAUUUGCCUCUCCUCUAUGUUUCCUCUACAGGAAACUUAAAUCAUGUCUACUUAUAUUAGGAACUAUUCAGAAAGGACCACGUGUAAUCAGUCACAAUAUUACAACAUAUCUAUUAACAGUUUUAUUUUGUUUCAAAUGGUCAUGGCAGUCAUGUUGGAUUUAGUUGGUGGUGAAAUAUGUUAUGGUACAAUACUUUGAAUACUUUAACCCAAAGUGUGUAUUUCUUCCGUAUUCUGAUUUUGUUUCGGUUGAUUUCGUCAAUUAACACCAACUGAUUUUUAUAACUCUAAAUCUAAGCUUCAACACUAAAGUGUCUGAUAUAUGCCAGUUUAUAAUUUUUACAAUUACCAUCCACAGGAAUGGGCAAUGGUCAUACAAUAUAUUUAUCAUUAAGGCAGUUAAUUGUAAUGAUUACAGUAUGCUGUACUCAUCUUAUGAUAGUUACUUUUCUUCUUGAUCAGAUGUCAGUUACAAAAAGCUGCAUAUACGGUGUUGCUUGAAUACAUACAAAAAUAAUCCAUACUGAAGUCCAGAUUAAUGCGCCAGCUUUUAUUUACAAGGUGAAUGAUGAUGGCCCCACCGUAUUAUUACCCCAGUGUUUGGAUCAAUGUACACUCACAUUUCAUUUUCACAUCCCUGGGGAGUACGUAUUCCAAGCCGUUGUAUCAGGCUCCAGAAGUUUGACAAAGACAUUACCUUCUCGUCGUACCGGAUAACCAGUCACUUCUCCUACAAACAUCCUUAUACUCUAACAAUUAAGAAAAAAACUCACAAUUUUCGGUUUUUUUAAAAUAAGGAAUCCAGUUCACAUUCGAGUUCCAUCACACAAUGAAGAAUAUUUGAUGAUAUGUAGGUAAGAUAGAUAGAGAGAGGUCCAUGGUUUUCCUUGCUUCCUGAACAACGAGUGUCACUAUUGCAGUUUAUUAGACUGUAUAGCAUGUCCUAACACCUCUAAAACCUGAAGGCAUGUCAAUUCCUCUUUUGUACUGGAUUCCAAAGCUCCAUAAUUGUUGUCUGCAGCGCAUGGCCGUCCGUCAUCGCAAUGUCUGGGUACCGUUUCACAAAGCAGUCGUAAGCCUUACGUGCGUGUAAAACUGGCGUAACUCGGAAAUACUGAACUAGGGGCGUUUCACAAAGCUAGUGUAAUAUUACGUCCGUGUAAAAUUGGCGUAAACUCUACGUGUGGUCUUGGGGUGGUGUAAAUAUUUACGCAAGCGAUAAAGAUGGCGAUCAAUCCAAACACGGACGAGAUUGCCAAAAAAGUAUGUAAGCGAGAACGUGUUUUCCGCGACAGGUCGAACCCCCUCGACGAUUUGGAUGAUCAUGACAUCAUCGAGAGGUACCGCCUAUCACGACACUUGAUAUUUUCUAUCAUUGGUAAAGUGAGUGACAGACUUGAACAUCAAACCCAGCGUUCCCAUGCAAUACCACCUUACCUUAAUGUUUUAAUUGCUCUGAGAUACUUCUUCAAGGGUGGAUUUUACAGUGAGAUUGCCGAUAUCCACUGUGUGAGUAAAUCCUCUUUCUGCAGAGCAAUCCACGCAACAACAGACGCAUUAUGUGCAACCAUGGGUGAUUUUGUAUUUCUCACAAUGCCUUCCACUGAGAAGAGUACCAAAGAAUCAUUCUUCGACACAGCUGGAUUCCCUAAAGUACUCGGUGCAAUUGAUUGCACACUCGUACCCAUAAUGGCGCCGAAACGUGACGAAGUAGCCUACGUUUGUCGGAAGGGUUACCAUGCACUGAACAUACAGGCAGUAUGUGAUGCCAACAUGAGGUGAGAUACAUACACACAUGGUAGAUAUGAAUUUUAUCAUGAAUCAAUUAUUCCUAUUCCUCUUGAACAAGGCACGACAAAAUGUAAACAUUACAACAUGAAAUAGAUGUCCUUGACAUUGACGCAUGCUGCGCCCCCUAGGUAACGUUUUUGGCGAGUUAAGUCAUGAUGCAUACCAGUAAAAAUGAAUCCAUUGUGAUAAUGUUUUCAAAUUUCCAUUGUUUCCAUGUAGAAUAACUGUUCCAUAAUUGAAAUGUGAAUUCAUAGUGUUUAUUUGUAGGCAGAUGUAGAUCUCUAAAUGAGCUUUAUAAAGUUAUGCAUGUGCAUUUUAAAUACUGGAUUUCUGUUGGAUUUAUAUGGAUAUAAAUUGUUAUAUUUUUCUGUGUGUUCAAGUGGCCUGGCUCUCUCCAUGACAGUUACAUAUGGAAUAACUCUGCCCUUGGUCAGUACUUUGAAAAGAAAAAUAUUGAUGGAUGGCUACUUGGAGACUCUGGAUACGCCUGCAGACCAUGGCUGCUGACCCCUGUGCUCAAUCCCAGCUCGGAAGGACAGGAGAAAUACAAUAGAUGUCAUAUCAAGACACGGAACACAAUAGAAUGCCUUCACAAGACAACUGGUGUCUCACAAUUCACCCCAGAAAGGAGUUUGUGUGUUGUCCGGGCUUGCUUCUUGUUGCAUAACAUGUGCAUCAAUGAAAGAAUACCACUUCCCCAGGGCAUUGAGCUACUCAGAGGAGAGGGAACUGCCACAGAGUUGCCAUGUGCAGCUGACUUCCCAACAACAAGCUCUGGUUGUGAUGGACUGUCAGCAAGACAUCAAUUAAUUCUGCAUAAGUUCACUAAAAUUACAGCCUUAAGCUAUUGUUUUCAUCAUUUAUAAUAAGCACAAGAAUAUAAAUCAUGACAUGUAAGUGACUUUCUACUCUGUAUUACUAGACAGUCAUAACUUAAGUUCAAACAAAGUCACAUGAAUGUUUGUGUGAACUUGGUCAUGCACAUUCAUACUGUAAUCCUCCAGUAGUCGGUGUAUUGCAGAUAAACUCUCCAAUAGUUAACAACUAAUGUUCACCCUCCAAUAGUUAUCAACUUAUGUUCAACCUCCAAUAGUUCUAAACUCCAUUACCCGAUCAUGUCAGUCGAACCGUGUUUGUGAUCUUUGAAAGACAAAACGUAGAAACGCACCCGCUCAAUCAGUUAAGGAACUACGCUCACCAUUGGUUUGCACGUACCAAUCGACGUUCGCACGUUACCCUGCAACAUAUAACCUGGUUUUGCAGACUUUUCUUCUGAAAUGAAAUAUGCCGUCGUGAUAUAACUGAAAUUCUGUAUUUAAAAAGGGCGCUUGACUCCCAAAACAAGAACCGUCCUGUAUAUGUGUUAACACUAUAAAACUACCAUGAUUUCUGACCUCUGAUCAUGAGGUAAAUGAAACGGAGACACAUUAGAAAUAAAUUUAUUUCAGAAAGACAACGGCAAAGUUGCCCAAUCUGGUAAUACCAGUUUUAUGGAUUUUUGUGCUGCACUCUCGGCUGUAGUUGUUUCAGUUACUGCGAGAGUUGACGUUUCAUCCAGAACCGCUGUAGGUUGGUUUGUUGGUUGGUUUGUUGUUUUACGCCGCACUCAGCAAUGUUCCAGCUAUAUGACGGCGGUCUGAAAAUA